UACGUAGGGCGCAAGCGUUGUCCGGAAUUAUUGGGCGUAAAGAGCUCGUAGGCGGUUUGUCGCGUCUGCUGUGAAAACCUAAGGCUCAACCUUGGGCUUGCAGUGGGUACGGGCAGACUAGAGUGCGGUAGGGGUGACUGGAAUUCCUGGUGUAGCGGUGGAAUGCGCAGAUAUCAGGAGGAACACCGGUGGCGAAGGCGGGUCUCUGGGCCGAUACUGACGCUGGAGGAGCGAAAAGCCGUGGGGAGCGAACAGG
rnacentral:rRNA from 1 species